rnacentral:rRNA from 1 species
UACGUAGGGCGCAAGCGUUAUCCGGAAUUAUUGGGCGUAAAGAGCUCGUAGGCGGUUUGUCGCGUCUGCCGUGAAAGUCCGGGGCUCAACUCCGGAUCUGCGGUGGGUACGGGCAGACUAGAGUGAUGUAGGGGAGACUGGAACUCCUGGUGUAGCGGUGAAAUGCGCAGAUAUCAGGAGGAACACCGGUGGCGAAGGCGGUUCUCUGGGCAUGACCUGACGCUGAGGAGCGAAAGUGUGGGGAGCGAACAGG